rnacentral:rRNA from 1 species
AUGAGGGAUAUUGCACAAUGGGGGAAACCCUGAUGCAGCGACGCCGCGUGGGUGAGGAAGUCCUUCGGGAUGUAAAGCCCUUUUCUCGGGGACGAUCACAGACGGUACCCGAGGAAUAAGCCCCGGCUAACUACGUGCCAGCAGCCGCGGUAAUACGUAGGGGGCAAGCGUUGUCCGGAUUUACUGGGCGUAAAGCGCGCGUAGGCGGAACGUUAAGUCCGGUUUGAAAGCCCCCGGCUCAACCGGGGAGAGUGGCUGGAAACUGGCGUUCUGGAGGGCGAUAGAGGAGAGUGGAAUUCCUGGUGUAGCGGUGAAAUGCGUAGAUAUCAGGAGGAACACCCGUGGCGAAGGCGGCUCUCUGGAUCGACCCUGACGCUGAGGCGCGAAAGCGUGGGGAGCGAACGG